rnacentral:rRNA from 1 species
AUUGAACGCUGGCGGCAGGCCUAACACAUGCAAGUCGAGCGGAUGAAGGGAGCUUGCUCCUGGAUUCAGCGGCGGACGGGUGAGUAAUGCCUAGGAAUCUGCCUGGUAGUGGGGGAUAACGUCCGGAAACGGGCGCUAAUACCGCAUACGUCCUGAGGGAGAAAGUGGGGGAUCUUCGGACCUCACGCUAUCAGAUGAGCCUAGGUCGGAUUAGCUAGUUGGUGGGGUAACGGCCUACCCAGGCGACGAUCCGUAACUGGUCUGAGAGGAUGAUCAGUCACACUGGAACUGAGACACGGUCCAGACUCCUACGGGAGGCAGCAGUGGGGAAUAGGGGACAAUGGGCGAAAGCCUGAUCCAGCCAUGCCGCGUGUGUGAAGAAGGUCUUCGGAUUGUAAAGCACUUUAAGUUGGGAGGAAGGGCAGUAAGGUAAUACCUGGCUGUUUUGACGUGACCAACAGAAUAAGCACCGGCGAACGUCGUG